ACACCUCCCUGCAAGCUGAGGGAGCCGGCUCUGGCCUUGGCCAGCCUAGAAAGGGGCUCCCACAGUGCAGUGGUGGGCUGAAGGGCUCCUCAAAUGCCGCCAAAGUGGGAGCCCAGGCAGAGGAGGUGCCAAGAGCAAGCGAGGGCUCUGAGGACUGCCAGCACGCUGUCACCUGUCAUUAUCAACAACUUGACUAAAAUACCUCUGUGUUUGUUUUAGCAGAGCAUGUGUUCCCUAUGAGAAGAAAGCUCCUGGUAUAAGGAAAAUCCUUUUUUCUGAACAUCAAGAGAGUGUUGCAAGAACCUACCCAUUUGCCUGAGAGCUGAGCCCUGCCCCUGUACCUGCUAUGGCCUUCUCUCCAGCAGUGAGGGCUUUGUCUGACUGCAGGAUGGAUUCCUCUAUAACCACCUGUGACUGCAGGAAGCUCUGGAGGACCUCGUCUGCCUGAAGAACCAAGAAGGAGCAAAGACCUGUCAGGCAGCAGAAAUCUUGUCUUGUGAUGAGGAAAUUAUUGUUCAACAAAGCCACAAAUCUAACCUUGUAAACUUCACAUUAUUCUUAAGAUUCCACAGUGGUUUCUUUCCUUCCACAGCCACAAUAAAAAGUCCAAGCUCUUUGUUGAGACAUGAAAACCCUGUGUAGCAGCCUCCCUCCUGCCUGUCCAGCCUCUUCUCCCAGGGAUGCUGCUCACCACCCACCCCCGGUGCAGACAACCAGAUUUCUAUGCAGUUCUACAAACACACAUCCUCCAUAGUUUGCAUUAUUUGCUUUCUUUUUUCUUUUGCCUGAAGGCCUGCCUACCCUUUUCAAAUUAGGAUAACAUCUAUUGAUACUUUACCUAAUAGCUCUUACCUCACUGGAAGCUUUUCUAGGCUAAUUAUUUAUUUAUUUAUUUACUUUUGAUCACUGUUAAGAAUGUUGAUAAUAGUUCAUUAAAAGUAAACAAUGUAUUCAAAUUUAAUUUAAAAAGUUAAAACCUUAAAAAGACCGAACAGGUAACUGUUUAGUCUAUUUAGGAGUAGUGGUGAAUAUAAUGGAAAAUUGAACAGUUGAGAAACUUUUUUUUCUCUUUUGAGACAGUCUCACUCUGUCACCCAAGCACAAGUUCAAUGGUAUUAUCACUUCAACCUUGAACUCCCGGGCUGAAUGCUGCUGCCUCAGCCUCCUGCAUAGCCAGGACUACAGAUGUGUGCCACCGCAGCUGGCUAAUUUUAUUUUUUACUUUUGUAGAGAUGGAAGUCCUGUCAUGUUGCUCAGGAUGGUUUCAAUCUCCUGGUCUUAAGCAAUCCUCCUACCUUGGCCUUCCAAAGCGUUGGGAUUAUAGGUGUGAGCCACUGUACCUGGCCUGAGAAACUUUAAGAAUUUGAAACUUUAAGGGAGUAACAUGGCUGUCCAAAAUGGGAAAUUACCAAUCAAGGAAAAUACAACACUGCAUAGACUUAACAGUCACACAUGGGAAGGAAAAAGAGGCAUAAAUACCUCAGCCAAUAAGUGAUUAGUGACUGAAAUUUGGGUGUGUGGGGCACAUCACAGAAGGAAGGACCUAGGCAUUUUUUGACGGUUAUUUUCCUUGUUCCCUUCUUUCAAAAAAAAUUUAGAUUCAUGGGUGUAUUAGGACAUUCUUGCAUUGCUACAAAUACCUGAGACUGGGUAAUUUUUUUUCUUAUUGUGUGAUUGUAGCUUAUUCACUUUCAUUGUGAUAUAGUACGCCAUUAUGUGAAUACACUAGUUUACUUGUUCUAUUGUUGAUGGACAUUAGGGUAAAAUUUCAGUUUGGUGCUAUUGUGAAUGAUACUGUUGUGACCAUUUCUGUCCCAGUCUUUUAAGUGAAUGUAUAUAUCUAGGAAUGGAUUUGCUGGGUCAUUUGGUAUUUGUUUUUCAAUUUUAGCAAUUAAAACCAAACAGUUUUCCAAAUUGAUGUUCUGAUUUAUACCUCAUUAGCAAUGUGUGAGAAUUCCAGUUGCUUCAUAUUCUUGUCAACACUUGGAAUUUUGAUUUCUUAAACAGUCACCUUCUUUUCAUUUUGUGAGGAAAUUGAAACUCAGAUAAGUGAAAUUACCUGACCUGUACUAGGCUUUGUUCUGAGAAUGCAAAGGACCUUGCAGUUCAGAAUUAAGCACUUUUUUCUGUUUAACUGGUAGUGACUUAUGAAGUAAAAAAUCAUACUCAGAUUUGAUAUAUGUAUCUUUCCAAGGAGGAUUACAAGUAGCUAUUUAUUUUUAUCUGAUCUGAAUUUAAAAUAGUUUUUUGGACACUACUGUUUUAGGGUGAGUGAGCAAUAAUGAUUUAGGUAUAGAGUUAGGAUCUACAUUUAAUUUUUUUUAUUUAACUUUUAUUUUAAGUUCGGGGUAAUUUAUAAAGCAAAGAGGUUUAAUGGGCUCAUAGUUCUGCAGGCUUUACAGGAAACAUGCCUUCUGGUAAGGCUUCAGGAAGCUUUUACUCCUGGUGGAAUGUGAAGCAGGAGCUUGCAUGUCACAUGACAAAAGCAGGAGCAAGAGAGAGUGAGAGAGAGUGGAGGUGCCACAUACUUUUAAAUGACCAGACCUCCAGAGAACUCACUAUCACACAGACAGCAGCAAGCCAUAAAGGAUCUUCCCCCAUGAUCCAAACACCUCCCACGAGGCCCCACCUCCAGCACUGGGGAUUACAAUUCAAUAUGAGGUUUGAGUGGAGACAAAUAGCCCAACUUGAUCAAUGGGGUUCGCAUGCAGGUUUGUUACAUGACUAUAUUGCGUGAUACUGAGGUUUGGGCUUCAGUCAAAACAGUCACCCAGAUAGUGAAUGUAGAACCCCAAAGGUCGUUUUUCAACCCUACUUCCCUCCCUGCCUCCUCCCUCUUGUAUUCCCCAGUGUAUAUUGUUCCCGUCUUUAUGUACAUGUGUAUUCAUUGUUUAGCUCCCACUUACAAGUGAGAACAUGGAGUAUUUGGUUUUCCGUUUCUGCAUUAAUUCACUUAGGAUAAUGGCCUCCAGAUGCAUCCAUUUUUCUGCAAACGACAUGAUUUCAUUCUUUUUAUGGCUGCAUAGUGUCUCAAGGUGUAUAUGCACCACAUUGUAAAAAUCCAGUCUACUAUUGAUGGGCGCAUAGGUUGAUUCUGUGUCUUUGCUAUUGUGAAUAGUGCUGUGAUAAACAUAUGAGUGUGGGUGUCUUUUUGGUAGAAUGUUUUAUUUUCCUUUGGGUGUAUACCUAGUAAUGGGAUUGCUGGGUUGAAUAAUAAUAAUAAUUCUAUUUUUAGUUCUUUAAGAAAUCUCCAAACUGCUUCCCACAGAGGAAUUUACAAUUUGCAAUCCCACUAGCAGUGUAUAAGCGUUCCCUUUUCUCUACAACCUCACCAGUAUGUGCUAUUUUUCCCUUUUUAAUAAUAUAGGCUAAUUUCUAAUUUUGUUUUACAAGUUUUUUGAAGUUGAUUGAUAAGUAAAAAUUAUGUUUAAGAGGAACAGCAUGAUAUUUUGAUACAUGUAUACAUUGUGAAAUGAUUAUUAUAAUCAAGC
rnacentral:lncRNA from 1 species